rnacentral:rRNA from 1 species
AUUGAACGCUGGCGGCAGGCCUAACACAUGCAAGUCGAACGAGUGGCGUACGGGUGAGUAAUGUCUGGGAAACUGCCUGCUGGCGGGGGAUAACUACUGGAAACGGUAGCUAAUACCGCAUACCAUUAGUUGUUCCCAGAUGGGAUUGGCUUGUUGGUGGGGUAACGGCUCACAAAGGCGACUAUCCCUAGCUGGUCUGAGAGGAUGACCAGCCACACUGGAACUGAGACACGGCCCAGACUCCUACGGGAGGCAGCAGUGGUGAAUAUUGCACAAUGGGCGCAAGCAUGAGGCAGCCAGGCCGCGUGUAUGAAGAAGGCCUUCGGGGUGUAAAGUACUUUCAGCGGGGAGGCGUUACCCGCAGAAGAAGCACCGGCUAACUCCGUGCCAGCAGCCGCGGUAAUUC